AUUGAACGCUGGCGGCAUGCUUUACACAUGCAAGUCGAACGGUAACAGGGUGCUUGCACCGCCGACGAGUGGCGAACGGGUGAGUAAUGCGUCGGAACGUGCCGAGUAGUGGGGGAUAACGCAGCGAAAGUUGUGCUAAUACCGCAUACGUACUGAGGUAGAAAGUGGGGGAUCUUCGGGCCUCACGCUAUUCGAGGGCACGACGUCUGAUUAGCUGUUAGGUGAGGUAAAGGCUCACCUAGGCGACGAUCAGUAGCGGGUCGGAGAGGAUGUUCCGCCACACUGGGACUGAGACACGGCCCAGACUCCUACGGGAGGCAGCAGUGGGGAAUUUUGGACAAUGGGCGAAAGCCUGAUCCAGCCAUGCCGCGUGUCUGAAGAAGGCCUUCGGGUUGUAAAGGACUUUUGUCAGGGAGGAAAUCCCUAGUGCUAAUAACACUGGGGGAUGACAGUACCUGAAGAAUAAGCACCGGCUAACUACGUGCCAGCAGCCGCGGUAA
rnacentral:rRNA from 1 species